CGAAUACCGGAGAAUGUUAUCACGGGAGACACACGGCGGGUGCUAACGUCCGUCGUGAAGAGGGAAACAACCCAGACCGCCAGCUAAGGUCCCAAAGUCAUGGUUAAGUGGGAAACGAUGUGGGAAGGCCCAGACAGCCAGGAUGUUGGCUUAGAAGCAGCCAUCAUUUAAAGAAAGCGUAAUAGCUCACUGGUCGAGUCGGCCUGCGCGGAAGAUGUAACGGGGCUAAACCAUGCACCGAAGCUGCGGCAGCGACGCUUAUGCGUUGUUGGGUAGGGGAGCGUUCUGUAAGCCUGCGAAGGUGUGCUGUGAGGCAUGCUGGAGGUAUCAGAAGUGCGAAUGCUGACAUAAGUAACGAUAAAGCGGGUGAAAAGCCCGCUCGCCGGAAGACCAAGGGUUCCUGUCCAACGUUAAUCGGGGCAGGGUGAGUCGACCCCUAAGGCGAGGCCGAAAGGCGUAGUCGAUGGGAAACAGGUUAAUAUUCCUGUACUUGGUGUUACUGCGAAGGGGGGACGGAGAAGGCUAUGUUGGCCGGGCGACGGUUGUCCCGGUUUAAGCGUGUAGGCUGGUUUUCCAGGCAAAUCCGGAAAAUCAAGGCUGAGGCGUGAUGACGAGGCACUACGGUGCUGAAGCAACAAAUGCCCUGCUUCCAGGAAAAGCCUCUAAGCAUCAGGUAACAUCAAAUCGUACCCCAAACCGACACAGGUGGUCAGGUAGAGAAUACCAAGGCGCUUGAGAGAACUCGGGUGAAGGAACUAGGCAAAAUGGUGCCGUAACUUCGGGAGAAGGCACGCUGAUAUGUAGGUGAAGUCCCUCGCGGAUGGAGCUGAAAUCAGUCGAAGAUACCAGCUGGCUGCAACUGUUUAUUAAAAACACAGCACUGUGCAAACACGAAAGUGGACGUAUACGGUGUGACGCCUGCCCGGUGCCGGAAGGUUAAUUGAUGGGGUCAGCGCAAGCGAAGCUCUUGAUCGAAGCCCCGGUAAACGGCGGCCGUAACUAUAACGGUCCUAAGGUAGCGAAAUUCCUUGUCGGGUAAGUUCCGACCUGCACGAAUGGCGUAAUGAUGGCCAGGCUGUCUCCACCCGAGACUCAGUGAAAUUGAACUCGCUGUGAAGAUGCAGUGUACCCGCGGCAAGACGGAAAGACCCCGUGAACCUUUACUAUAGCUUGACACUGAACAUUGAGCCUUGAUGUGUAGGAUAGGUGGGAGGCUUUGAAGUGUGGACGCCAGUCUGCAUGGAGCCGACCUUGAAAUACCACCCUUUAAUGUUUGAUGUUCUAACGUGGACCCGUAAUCCGGGUUGCGGACAGUGUCUGGUGGGUAGUUUGACUGGGGCGGUCUCCUCCUAAAGAGUAACGGAGGAGCACGAAGGUUGGCUAAUCCUGGUCGGACAUCAGGAGGUUAGUGCAAUGGCAUAAGCCAGCUUGACUGCGAGCGUGACGGCGCGAGCAGGUGCGAAAGCAGGUCAUAGUGAUCCGGUGGUUCUGAAUGGAAGGGCCAUCGCUCAACGGAUAAAAGGUACUCCGGGGAUAACAGGCUGAUACCGCCCAAGAGUUCAUAUCGACGGCGGUGUUUGGCACCUCGAUGUCGGCUCAUCACAUCCUGGGGCUGAAGUAGGUCCCAAGGGUAUGGCUGUUCGCCAUUUAAAGUGGUACGCGAGCUGGGUUUAGAACGUCGUGAGACAGUUCGGUCCCUA
rnacentral:rRNA from 1 species